AAGUCGUAACAAGGUUUCCGUAGGUGAACCUGCGGAAGGAUCAUUAACACGUAUCCGAACGUUAAACCCCCCCCGUGAACCUUUAUGAGUGCGCCCUUGUGGGUACCCCGAGUCGUAGUGUAUGGUAAAUCAUGGGUGAGUUGGGAGUUCUUCUCAACAGGCACAUUAUUGAUUCAAUGACUACGAUUGGCUGCAAGAAAUGCGAGCUCGAAGCAACAGCGGUAAAGCAAUAACUUGUUAGUGCGAGGGCCAAGUGGCCUGCCGCACCGAACGCACAACUGUUAACAAUGGAUAUCUUGGUUCUC
rnacentral:misc_RNA from 1 species